CACGUAGGGCGCAAGCGUUGUCCGGAAUUAUUGGGCGUAAAGAGCUCGUAGGCGGCCAGUUGCGUCCGCUGUGAAAUCCCGGGGCUCAACCCCGGGCUUGCAGUGGAUACGGGCUGGCUAGAGGCAGGCAGGGGAGAACGGAAUUCCCGGUGUAGCGGUGAAAUGCGCAGAUAUCGGGAGGAACACCGGUGGCGAAGGCGGUUCUCUGGGCCUGUACUGACGCUGAGGAGCGAAAGCGUGGGGAGCGAACAGG
rnacentral:misc_RNA from 1 species